rnacentral:rRNA from 1 species
GACGAACGCUGGCGGCGUGCUUAACACAUGCAAGUCGAACGGACAGGCCCUGCUUUUGUGGCGUGCUCGAGUGGCGAACGGGUGAGUAACACGCGAGUAACCUGCCCUUCACUUUCGGAUAUCUUCAGGGAACUGGGGCUAAUACCGGAUAGGAUCUCCUGCUGCAUGGUGGGCGUUGGAGAGUUUCGGCGGUUGGGUAUCGACUCGCGGCUUAUCAGCUUGUUUGUCGGGUAGUGGCUUACCAAGUCUUUGACGGGUAGCCGACCUGAGAGGGUGACCAGCCACAAUAGGACUGAGAUACGGAGCAGACGCCAACGGGAGGCAGCAGUGGGGAGUAUUGCACAAUGAGCGGAAGCCUGAUACAGCAACGCCGCGUGCGGGAUGACGGCCUUCGGGUUGUAAACCGAUUUCGAAUGUGACGAAGAGUGAGUGACGGUAAUGGGUAAAGAAGCACCGGCUAACUACGUG